CUCGAUGGCACCACUUUUCAGGGCGAUGACACCACUUUGCCGAGCGAUGACAGUACUCUUCCGAGCGGCACCAUGGUGUUGACACUACAUUUCUUCAUCGGGUUUGUAGGCGAACUCCACCUCAUACUCUGGGGGGUUGUCAUCUGAUGGGCACCU
rnacentral:lncRNA from 1 species